AACUCAUAUGUUCUCUCUUCGUCCUUCAAAUCCAGAGCAUGCAUGAACAUUAUCUUCAACUUCAUCAUCUUUAUUUGAUGUCCAGAGGUCAAACGCAGUGACCUCUAGACAUUAGGUUGGACUAGCGGUCCGUUGGCUUCAACGGUCUUCUUCCUCCAUCCUCGUGCCCAGGUAAAAGUCUCUGUUGUUUUCCCCUCUGUUCUUUUCUGAUUUCAUCGUGUUGCUAUCAUCAUCCAUCAUUCAUCACUUUCCACUAUCUAUUUUGAACCAAUCGGAACCCUAAGGCUUGAAGGACACUAUAAAUACGAUCUUAAAUGCUCUCACCUAACAGACACCAACAUACAUCAAUACACACUUAAUACUACUGAUCCAUACACUGAAAGAAUUAAUAGUUCAAGUCUUAAGUUCCAGCAGUUCUUUUCUAAUUUCUCUUUUCUUCUUUUUAUUUUCUGUUCGAGUGCAAUCUAAUGUGAGUUGAUCGUAGUAAGUUUGGAUACCUUAGACAACUGUUAGCAUCUGCUUGGUUGCUGCUCCACAAAAGCCUAUUAUCAGAUCUUGAGCCGCAACAUUUCUGUCACGUCUACUGUUCGUGCGUGUGACCUUGGGCCUGUUUGAGCAUUAGACCCAAAAUCAUCCAGAGUCCAGUUCUUUACUCUUAUUCCUUUUGAAUUCAUUGCGAUACUAUUUGAUAUGUGUAUAUAUGUUCUUGAAUGACUAACAUUUAUUAUUGUAUAACUUUAAAUACCUUUGAUUGUACAGGAAACAUAGACAAACUAAAAGACUGUAGGUAAAAAUAAAAAGGAAUGGCUGUCUCUUGUAUCAGUUAAAUGACUUCAACUUAUCUAAUUAUUUCUAUUA